rnacentral:rRNA from 1 species
CCAGACUCCUACGGGAGGCAGCAGUGGGGAAUAUUGCGCAAUGGGCGAAAGCCUGACGCAGCGACGCCGCGUGAGGGAUGAAGGUCUUCGGAUCGUAAACCUCUGUCAGCAGGGAAGAACGGUCACUGUGCUAAUCAGCAGUGAAUUGACGGUACCUGACUAAGAAGCCCCGGCUAACUACGUGCCAGCAGCCGCGGUAAUACGUAGGGGGCAAGCGUUAUCCGGAUUUACUGGGUGUAAAGGGAGCGUAGACGGCGGUGCAAGCCAGAUGUGAAAGCCCGGGGCUCAACCCCGGGACUGCUCUUGGAACUGCGCGGCUGGAGUGCAGGAGGGGCAGGCGGAAUUCCUGGUGUAGCGGUGAAAUGCGUAGAUAUCAGGAGGAACACCGGUGGCGAAGGCGGCCUGCUGGACUGCGACUGACGUUGAGGCCCGAAAGCGUGGGGAGCAAACAGGAUUAGAUACCCCAGUAAA